rnacentral:rRNA from 1 species
UACGAAGGGAGCUAGCGUUGCUCGGAAUCAUUGGGCGUAAAGCGCGCGUAGGCGGUUACUUAUGUCGGAUGUGAAAGCCCUCGGCUUAACUGAGGAAGUGCAUUCGAAACUGGGUAGCUAGAGUACUAAAGAGGGUCGCGGAAUUCCCGGUGUAGAGGUGAAAUUCGUAGAUAUCGGGAGGAACACCGGUGGCGAAGGCGGCGACCUGGGUAGAUACUGACGCUGAGGCGCGAAAGCGUGGGGAGCAAAAAGG